AUUGAACGCUGGCGGCAGGCCUAACACAUGCAAGUCGAGCGAGCGGCGGACGGGUGAGUAAUGUAUGGGGACUGCCCGAUAGAGGGGGAUAACUACUGGAAACGGUAGCUAAUACCGCAUACUAUCGGAUAACCCAUAUGGGAUUAGCUAGUAGGUGAGGUAAUGGCUCACCUCGGCGACGAUCCCUAGCUGGUCUGAGAGGAUGAUCAGCCACACGGGAACUGAGACACGUCCCAGAUCCCUAGGGGGGCAGCAGUGGGGAAUAUUGGAAAAGGGGCGCAAGCCUGAUGCAGCCAGGCCGGUUGGAUGAAGAAGGCCCUAGGGUUGUAAAGUACUUUCAGUCGGGAGGCGUUACCGACAGAAGAAGCACCGGCUAACUCCGUGCCAACAGCCGCGGUAAUU
rnacentral:rRNA from 1 species